UUUAAUUAAAAUCGACCCAAGUCUCGGCCCAAACAAUUAAUAAAAUCGGCCCAAGAGGGAGCCCAAUAUUUUCGGCCCAAACCCGGCUCAAACCCGGCCCAAACCCGGCUGAAACCCUAACCUAAAUAUACACACACAAUAAAACACACUCAACACACACACAUCAAAUGCGCCUCUCUCUCUAUCUCUAUCUCUCGGCUCUCUCUCUCCCUACUCUCUCUGCUCUCUCUCUUUACUCUCUCUGCUCUCUCUCUUCGUUCGGCUGAGGGCGGCGCCGCCUCCGGCGCGCCGCCUCGCCGUCGCCUCCUCCCCUCCUCUCCUUCGGCCACCGCGACCAGCCACCAGGUGUCGCCACCCUCGACUCCCUCGCUCCCUCGGCCGCUGGAACCAGGCGCAGCAGCGCAAGCACGCCGCCGCUCCGUCGCCUCCGCCUCUCCUCCAUGGCAGAUCCGCCGCCGCCGUUCAACGCCACGGCCACCCCUUGUUCUCCCUCUCUCUCUAACCUCAAGAAACGAACACUGUUCAUCAUCUCUCUCUCUUGCUCGAUCCAGCCGUCGCCGCCACGGAUUUCGCCGGAGGAGCAGCGGCGAUAGGCCGCGCCACCCUCGGCUCUCUCGUCUCUCUCUCUGGAUCGACGGGUAGCCUAAGAUCGGAGACCACCUCGGCUCCGUCGCCGACCGUCGACCGCCGCAGCCACCGCGGCUGCCGUCCCCUCUGAUUUCGACUCACACACACAGUAGGUUCAAGCCACAAUUUAGUUCACAAAAUAGCAUAGGAUUUUGAGCAGAAAUCAAAUACUGUAAAUGCUUAUUGAAAUCUGAAAUUCUUUUCUUGAAACUGAACUAGUCUAUAAAUUUCAGUUCAUAUGUGCAUAUGUAAACAUGUUGUGAAAUAUCAGAACAGCCGUAUGAAUUGGUAUGAAUUGGUGGUUCCCUGA